rnacentral:lncRNA from 1 species
GCCCCACUCGCCAGGUCCUACCACGAUGCCUGACUCGUUUGCGGCUUUGGGACCGGUUGUAGGUGGCUUGACCGUCACUAGUAGACGUUUCUGAGUGUGUCGCGGUCACCAUGGGGAGGUUCCCUGCUCAAGCUCUCUUCUCUUGUCUGCUGCCAUGUGAGACGUGCCUUUGACCUUCUGCCAUGAUUGUGAGGCCUCCCCAGCCACGUGAAACUGAUGACACAACAGGAAGGCUCUCACAAGAUGCCAACCCCUCAAUCUUGGACUUCUCAGCCUCCAGAAACAUGAGCCAAUAAAUUUCUAUUCAUUAUAAA